GGUCUUUCAUGUGCAGCUGCCAAUGAUGUGGUAUUGACGAUGGUUAUGCACAUAGGUUCUAGAGGCUGAUGUUCUCAGUAACAAUGUGAAGCAUGAACAGUUGGUACAUGAUGUCCACCCAGGUGUGAGCUAGGUGGAGGCGUGAAUUGAGCGAAGGCUGGCGGCGCGGAAGCGAGCGUGGGUCACGGGCGCAGCUGAGUGGUCACCAGCGUCGAGUCCCUGAGUUGGUUAAUGUUGAUUUUGCUCAGGCACGGUCCAUCUUAGGGAUCAAAGAGAGGUGGCUCAAGCGAUACGGGAUGGUGGCGAGA